GAAAUGCGAUAAGUAAUGUGAAUUGCAGAAUUCAGUGAAUCAUAGAAUCUUUGAACGCACAUUGCGCCCGCCAGUAUUCUGGCGGGCAUGCCUGUUCGAGCGUCAUUUCAACCAUCAAGCCCCCGGCUUGUGUUGGGGACCUGCGGCUGCCCGCAGGCCCUGAAAAACAGUGGCGGGCUCGCUGUCACACCGAGCGUAGUAGCAUACAUUCUCGCUCAGGGCGUGCUGCGGGUUCCGGCCGUUAAACGACCUUCAUAACCCAAGGUUGACCUCGGAUCAGGUAGGAAGACCCGCUGAACUUAAGC
rnacentral:misc_RNA from 1 species